rnacentral:rRNA from 1 species
UACGUAGGGUGCGAGCGUUGUCCGGAAUUAUUGGGCGUAAAGAGCUUGUAGGCGGUUUGUCGCGUCUGCUGUGAAAAUCCGGGGCUCAACUCCGGACUUGCAGUGGGUACGGGCAGGCUAGAGUGUGGUAGGGGAGACUGGAAUUCCUGGUGUAGCGGUGGAAUGCGCAGAUAUUAGGAAGAACACCCGUGGCGAAGGCGGCACUCUGGGACGGUAUUGACGCUGAGACGCGAAAGCGUGGGGAGCGAACAGG